CCUUCGAUAGCUCAGCUGGUAGAGCAGAGGACUGUAGAUCCUUAGGUCGCUGGUUCGAUUCCGGCUCGAAGGA
rnacentral:tRNA from 1 species